GCACCAAAUGAUGAUCAACACCUUCUAUACUUUUUUCUGGUACCUCUUAUUUUAAAGCCUUCGGGCUUGAUGAAUGAACCGGACUUCUGAAU
rfam:Colletotrichum orbiculare MAFF 240422 contig08564, whole genome shotgun sequence.